rnacentral:rRNA from 1 species
UACAGAGGGUGCGAGCGUUAAUCGGAAUUACUGGGCGUAAAGCGCGCGUAGGCGGCUUUGCAAGUCGGGUGUGAAAUCCCCAAGCUUAACCUGGGAACUGCAUUCGAGACUGCAUUGCUAGAGUAUGGGAGAGGGAAGUGGAAUUUCCGGUGUAGCGGUGAAAUGCGUAGAUAUCGGAAGGAACACCGGUGGCGAAGGCGGUUCUCUGGGCAUGUCCUGACGCUGAGGAGCGAAAGUGUGGGGAGCGAACAGG